UGCUACUAUUAAAUAUACGAUUUGUGUGUAUGAAAUGAGUAAAAGUAACCUUGCUUUGUUUUGAGAUUUAGAUCAAGUGCGUAAGUUUGAAAUCAUUUUUCAUACAGUAUUAUAUAUGUGCAGCCUAUCAGCGUUUUCGUCAUGGCUAAAGUUUUCUCUGAGCCGUGAGUAUAGUCUAGAACUUCAGAAACAAGUGUUAACAGUCUUAAGAAUUUCAUGAUCUUUUUAUGUCUCAUAUUACUGCUUGCUGGUGUUUUGACAGGAGUCAAAAAGUGGUAUGAACCAGAAUGGUGGAAGUUUGGUGAUAAAAAAUCCUCCUAUCAUCAUUAGUUUUGUCAAGGAACAAGCACUACAAAAAAUAAUUUAUGUAAUUGGUGAGUACUAUGUCUGUAUGUAUAUGCAUCUGGGUUUCUAUAUGAACUCUCAUUUAAAGAUGUUAUGCAGAAAAGUCUGUUUUCUUAACCAAACUAUCAUGGGGUGAAGCUUUUGUUUAUAUUUCUUACAUGUUCCUAAUUUUGGGUCUUGGUGGAAUCUCUGUGUGUGUGUGUGUGUGCACGGUGCAUAUUAUGGUCAUGACUGGUAUCAAAGAUAUGGUUACUUUUCUGUAGAAUUGUGAGUUUUAUACGGGUUUUUAGUGACAGUGUACAUGUUGAUGGUGGUGUAUAUGCAUAUGUGCAUAUCCAUAUGUAGUUGCUAAGUAUAUUCAUGAUUAAGAUUAAAGAUGGUAUUUUUCGGAAGAAUUGCAAUUUCAACAAGCUUGAUUAUAUGGGAUUUAAGCGAUAGUGUUGUAUAUGGGGUUUUGCAUACGCAAAAAAGUCUAUAUGCAGCUGACAUCAAAGAUGGUAUACUGAAAUUAUGUUUCUGCAUCCAACAAAUAUUUUCGCCAUGCUUCAUGUGAGAUGUAUUACAUUUCUCAAGGUCUGGCCAAAUUUGUUUGAAUAAAUAGAUAUAUUCUCCGUAUCAGUGUCGGAUCUUGGUUUAUUGGGCUUCAUGUUAAACAUCUUAAUGACGCCAAGUUUUGCUGCUCCUCUUGGACAGGAGGUCCGUCUCUCUCCCUCACACACAUACACAAGUUACGAUAUAAAAUUUGGUGCCAGCCCGUGCCGAUUCAGUUGAUUUACUUCUUAAGGUGUUUUUUGUUACGGGAGCCAUUUGUGCUGGUGUAUGAUUUGAUUUGCUUUGAGGUGGUGCAUCAAAGUAAAACCAGAUGCAGGGAGAUGGUUUAAAAGACAUUGGAUUCAUAUCGGUGAGAUGUUUGCAGCCUGCACAAUAUAGAGUAUGAAGAUUGAGGAAAAAUCAUAGCUGUGAUUGAGAAUUUAUUCCAAGUGUCUUACCCGUAGGUGAAGUAGCUUUGUUCCCAUUACAGUACACUUCAUAUAGGAAAGAAGGGAUUUCAACAAACUAUGCCUAGAGAGGGCAGUCGGUAUAGCUUUAUAUGUUCAGUAACACAAAUUUUACAGUGUAAUAGAGGGUGUUCUUAUUGCAACAUAAUCACACAUUUCUUUUGUAGCAUGUUGAUUCUUCUUGGGUUAUUCUUUAUUCA